rnacentral:rRNA from 1 species
UCGAGGGGCAGCAUAAUCUACGCAAUAGAUUGAUGGCGACCGGCGCACGGGUGAGUAACACGUAUCCAACCUACCGGUAACUCGGGGAUAGCCUUUCGAAAGAAAGAUUAAUAUCCGAUAGUAUAGUAAGAUCUCCUGUUCUUGCUAUUAAAGAAUUUCGGUUAUCGAUGGGGAUGCGUUCCAUUAGGCAGUUGGGGGGGUAACGGCCCACCAAACCUACGAUAGAUAGGGGUUCUGAGAGGAAGGUCCCCCACAUUGGAACUGAGACACGGUCCAAACUCCUACGGGAGGCAGCAGUGAGGAAUAUUGGUCAAUGGACGGAAGUCUGAACCAGCCAAGUAGCGUGAAGGAUGACUGCCCUAUGGGUUGUAAACUUCUUUUAUAUGGGAAUAAAGUUCGGCACGUGUGCCGUUUUGUAUGUACCAUGUGAAUAAGGAUCGGCUAACUCCGUGCCAGCAGCCGCGGUAAUACGGAGGAUCCAAGCGUUAUCCGGAUUUAUUGGGUUUAAAGGGAGCGUAGGCGGACGUUUAAGUCAGUUGUGAAAGUUUGCGGCUCAACCGUAAAAUUGCAGUUGAUACUGGGCGCCUUGAGUGCAGUAGAGGUAAGCGGAAUUCGUGGUGUAGCGGUGAAAUGCUUAGAUAUCACGAAGAACUCCAAUUGCGAAGGCAGCUUGCUGGACUGUAACUGACGCUGAUGCUCGAAAGUGUGGGUAUCAAACAGGAUUAGAUACCCUGGUAGUCCACACAGUAAACGAUGAAUACUCGCUGUUUGUGAUACACAGUAAGCGGCCAAGCGAAAGCGUUAAGUAUUCCACCUGGGGAGUACGCCGGCAACGGUGAAACUCAAAGGAAUUGACGGGGGCCCGCACAAGCGGAGGAACAUGUGGUUUAAUUCGAUGAUACGCGAGGAACCUUACCCGGGCUUGAAUUGCUUCUGAAUGUAGUGGAAACAUUACAGCCGCAAGGCAGAAGUGAAGGUGCUGCAUGGUUGUCGUCAGCUCGUGCCGUGAGGUGUCGGCUUAAGUGCCAUAACGAGCGCAACCCUUAUCGAUAGUUACUAACAGGUCAUGCUGAGGACUCUAUUGAGACUGCCGUCGUAAGAUGUGAGGAAGGUGGGGAUGACGUCAAAUCAGCACGGCCCUUACGUCCGGGGCUACACACGUGUUACAAUGGGGGGUACAGAAGGUCGCUACACAGCAAUGUGAUGCUAAUCCCGAAAGCCUCUCUCAGUUCGGAUUGGAGUCUGCAACUCGACUCCAUGAAGCUGGAUUCGCUAGUAAUCGCGCAUCAGCCACGGCGCGGUGAAUACGUUCCCGGGCCUUGUACACACCGCCCGUCAAGCCAUGAAAGCUGGGGGUACCUGAAGUACGUAACCGCAAGGAG